rnacentral:rRNA from 1 species
CGUAAUAAUAGAAACUAACCAGGAUUCCCUUAGUAACGGCGAGUGAACUGGGAUACCCAAUACACCAUCUGUGCGUACCUCGGUGCGUACAAAUUUUAGCCCGUCGAUACUAUCCUAGCAUAGUACUGGCUUCGGCCGGUAACCUAUCUAUGCGGGAAUUGUAGCAUCGUACAAAAAAUGUAUUAUACAACGUAUAUAUAUACGCAACCCACACUUAUAUAUAUUUUUAUGCGUACACUUACUUUCAUAAACACACAGCGCUCUCGCGUUGGAAAGCAAGUUUAUAUCCUUUUUUGGAUACGCCAUAGAGUGUGACAGCCACGUUUCAACUCUGCGUACGUACGUAUACACAUGCGUUAUAUAUACAUAGACUGUAUUUUAUAUAUAACCUGAGUCGAGUUAUUU